UUACGCACUCCUACGGGAGGCAGCAGUGGGGAAUAUUGCACAAUGGGCGCAAGCCUGAUGCAGCCAUGCCGCGUGUAUGAAGAAGGCCUUCGGGUUGUAAAGUACUUUCAGCAGUGAGGAAGGUGGGUAUGUUAAUAGCAUACUCAUUUGACGUUAGCUGCAGAAGAAGCACCGGCUAACUCCGUGCCAGCAGCCGCGGUAAUACGGAGGGUGCGAGCGUUAAUCGGAAUUACUGGGCGUAAAGCGCAUGCAGGUGGUUUGUUAAGUCAGAUGUGAAAGCCCGGGGCUCAACCUCGGAAUUGCAUUUGAAACUGGCAAACUAGAGUACUGUAGAGGGGGUAGAAUUUCAGGUGUAGCGGUGAAAAUGCGUAGAGAUCUGAAGGAAUACCGGUGGCGAAGGCGGCCCCCUGGACAGAUACUGACACUCAGAUGCGAAAGCGUGGGGAGCAAACAGGAUUAGAUACCCUGGUAG
rnacentral:rRNA from 1 species